rnacentral:pre_miRNA from 1 species
UUGUUUGCAGAUGUAGCAUCAUCAAGAUUCAUACAUGAAAAUUAAGAGUCAAGGUGAUAUGUAUAGAUUUGAUUUAAAUGAAAAAAUAGAAUAUAUAUAUUACCAUGGCCUUUUUUUUUUUUGGAAUGUGAGAAUCUUGAUGAUGCUGCAUCAGCAAUAAA